UUGGAGGGCAAGUCUGGUGCCAGCAGCCGCGGUAAUUCCAGCUCCAAUAGCGUAUAUUAAAGUUGUUGCAGUUAAAAAGCUCGUAGUUGAAUUUCGGGGUCAGUAGAUUGGUCGUGCCACUGGUAUGUACUGGUCUCACUGGCUCCUCCUUCCUGAUGAACCGUAAUGCCAUUAAUUUGGUGUUGCGGGGAGACUGGACUGUUACUUUGAAAAAAUUAGAGUGUUUAAAGCAGGCUAACGCUUGAAUACAUUAGCAUGGAAUAAUGAAAUAGGACGUUCGAUCUUAUUUUGUUGGUUUCUAAGAUUGACGUAAUGAUUAAUAGGGAUAGUUGGGGGCAUUAGUAUUCAAUUGUCAGAGGUGAAAUUCUUGGAUUUAUUGAAGACUAACUACUGCGAAAGCAUUUGCCAAGGAUGUUUUCAUUAAUCAAGAACGAAAGUUAGGGGAUCGAAGACGAUCAGAUACCGUCGUAGUCUUAACCAUAAACUAUGCCGACUAGGGAUCGGAUGAUGUUAAUUUUUUAAUGACUCAUUCGGCGCCUUACGGGAAA
rnacentral:rRNA from 1 species